UUUGAUGGUAGUGUAUUGGACUACCAUGGCAGUCACGGGUAACGGAGAAUUAGGGUUCGAUUCCGGAGAAGGAGCCUGAGAAACGGCUACUACAACUACGGUUUGGCAGCAGGGAAGAAAAUUGGCCAAUCCUAAUUCAGGGAGCCAGUGACAAGAAAUAGCAGACCGGGAGACUUAGUCUCUACGGUACUGAAAUGAGAACAGUGUUAAUCUCUUAGCGAGAAACAAUUGGAGGGCAGGCCUGGUGCCAGCAGCCGCGGUAAUUCCAGCUCCAAUAGCGUAUAUUAAAGUUGUUGCAGUUAAAAAGCUCGUAGUUGAACUUCUGUCCAGGUUCGUCUCGGCUCGCCGAGGCAAUUCUGGACAUACGUCUGCAAGCUAAAAUCGGCCUUCACUGGUGCGACUUAGUAAGUAGACAUUUUACUGUGAAAAAAUUAGAGUGUUUCAGGCAGGUUUUAGCCCGUAUACAUUAGCAUGGAAUAAUGGAAUAGGACUAAGUCCAUUUUAUUGGUUCUUGGAUUUGGUAAUGAUUAAUAGGGACAGUUGGGGGCAUUAGUAUUUAAUAGUCAGAGGUGAAAUUCUUGGAUUUAUUAAGGACUAACUAAUGCGAAAGCAUUUGCCAAAGAUGUUUUCAUUAAUCAAGAACGAAAGUUAGGGGAUCAAAGACGAUCAGAUACCGU
rnacentral:rRNA from 1 species